rnacentral:rRNA from 1 species
AUGAAAAUGGCACAUACAAGAUUAUCAGCCAGGUUGCUAGAACAGUCAGAUGAAAUCAACCAGCACAGCAAAACCAUCAAGCAGAUAACUAAAGAAGCAUGCAACUAUGUGAAGCAAGUGCACAAUGCAUCAAACAGAAUCCAAGACCUUGCUGCCGUUUUCUUAGACCCUGCUACCUCAAUGUGUGUUUCUAAUAUGAAGCAAGCUAUCAUGGAGAUUCACAGUUCAAUUGUCGCGCUUCAAAGCUCUACAACUACGACAUCUCAGUUCCUAGAGGAAAAAGGCAUGUACUCAGAUGAUGAAGUGCCUGAAUGGAGCUACAGUGGCCACUCAGAUGAAGAUUCAGCGGAUGAUAUUCAUCAACACAUAGAUGAUGACUAUGUCCCAUCCCCAUGA